CCUUAUCUUAUCCCAAAGCCUGUUGUCUGGCUUAACCAAAUAUAACAGGGAGAAAGCAGCUUCUUCCAUACUUAAGAUGUUUAGGAAGUCCUCCAGCCAUCUAUUGAAAUUGAAGCAGUUUGACUUUCUGACUUUCCAGUUCAUAAGAACGAGGCGUUUAGUUGAAAGGCAUGCUAGGGCUAUAAGUUUACUUGCAAAUGUUGAUGUUAUGCCAUUGAGCGGGGAUCCCAGCAAGCAUGUAGCUGGAGUUAAGAGUAUCUCUAUGUUCAGAAUCUCAGCGAGAGUAUCUCCAACUACGUCCAAUAGAGAUUUUACAGCCGGACAGGACCAAAGACAAUGUAAAAGGGUACCCACUUCCGCAUAACCAUGCCAGCAUAGGCCCGAGAGUGUUUGAUCCAUCUUUUUGAGUCUACAGGGUGUGAUGUAUGCUCUGUGAAGGAUUUUUAACUGUAUUACUCUAAACCGGACACACUUGGAGAUUGAUGUUGAGUUCGACCAGAUUCUGUCCCACUCAACUGGGGUAAGGGUUAUGCCUAAGUCCUGCUCCCAUCUUUUCUGUGACUGCAGAUUAGUAUUGGCAGUUGAGGUGAGGAGAAGUUUAUAUAUACCUGAAAUCAUUCCUUUCUUGUUUGCAAGUCUUUUUAGGUUCAUAUCAAGGUGUUCAUGACAACCUAUCUUUAUACCUUUUGAUGUUAAGUUUUUAAUAUUUGAUUGUAAUUGCAUAUAGGAGAGCAGAGCUACACUUUAAUGUGAACUGUUACAACUAAACUGGCAGCUCUUUAGAAAUACAUUGCCCUUUAAAGUUCAUGGAGGGUUUAAUUCUUUCUGAUGGCAUUGCUAAUAAGGUUUUUUCUGUAUCACAGAUCCUGAUGCCUCUGUGUGGCCUUGGCCCAGACGGUGCCCGGAUGUGGAAGUGCCUUGACGGGCUGGAGUUGAGCUCAGAGGGGCCGGCCCUGACCACACACAUCUCUCAACACGAUAUGAAACAGAACUGUGGUUGACAUGUGUGCUGUGAUGUUCAUCGGUUGCUCUCUCGAUAUCAAUGCUUCUCUCUAGACUCUUCCCAGAUCACGGCAGUGUUGUGUAGGAUCAGAGAGAGAGUAAUAAAGCACCUGGAAACAGAACUGUUGGCUCUUCAAUCUCAGGGUUGAUUCUAGAGGCGAUCCUGCAGAUUACACUGCAUGUGUUUACACGUGGAGUAGGAUCUUUCUCGUGACUAUGCCAUGGUGAACUCAGAGCAUGCCUUUUACAUCCACCCUGACAUCGUCUUCCACUCCAUCCUGAGAGAAAACCUGACCGCUUACAUCCAAUCAAUGAUGAGGAACUUUUUAUAUACUGGAUAAAAACAGUUGAGAUGUCGAUGACAGGAUUAAAACUGAAUAUCCACCCCCCUUUGAAACUGUAACUAUUGCCAUCUUUGAUUGCAACACUUUGUCCCCCCUACAGUGAUGAGGUGCUCCCUGCCACAGCAGCUCAUGCCUCUCCCUGUCAGCUCCAGCUCUAGUUUAUCUGAAACAGCACACAACAAGCUGCUGCCUCCUGCUGACUGUAUGCAGAACUUCUGCCACACCUCUGAAGGGUCCACCUCCGGAUCUGAAACACUCACACCAAGCAUUAACUCAGAAAAUGCUGUAAAUCACACGUCUUCACUGCUGGAUGCCGGAGAAUAUAUCUGUCUCACUGACUGAACCAUGACAAAUAUACAACUUUAAUGGAAAGGAAACAAAUCAACAGCUUUGUAGUGAUAUUUAAACCCACAUUAAAUCUACAGUACAAUCUACAAUCUGCUUUAUUCAUUUAGCAUGCGCUUUCCCUUCAUUUUGUAGUUAUAUGUGUCAAGAGAGUCACUGAAUCUCUGCCUUACUGCGUUUGGCACACUUGACAGCAAGCUUCCAAAGAAGAAGUGAAAAUUGUCAGAGGAAGUGAAAGAAAAUACAAUUGCAAAGCAAAGAGAUUCAAGACAACAGUACUUUUCAUGAAACUUGUUGAAGAAUUGUUGGGUCCACAAAAGACAAGGACUUAU